CUCAGCGUUGAGGCCUGCAUGCUUCCUCACCGACUUUCAUCCAGGGAUCUGCCUAGGGACAAUUGGGCAAGCACUCCUUUUUGUGUGCAUUAUGAGGCAAUUAAACGAGAACUGUGCUCCUCAGAGGGGAGAUCUGGGGCAUUAAUUACCGAGAUGUCAUGAGAAGCUGUGGGGAAUUAACUCAUCUCUUUCCAGGCCUGGACGCCCGGCCAAGGCCGCAAACCCUCUGCAACGUGAUCCUGUGUGCUCGGAGGGAAAAGGCAGGCAAAGCAAGGAAAAGAAACUCCUCUCGAACCUCCUGAGAGGCCUGGGAGCUCCUCAGGAACACAUAAAGCGUCUGCUGUUAAUCCUUCAAAAGGAAAAUGAAGGAAACGCUGACGGCACCCAUUGGUUUUAAUUUUCAUGAUGGCCGUGUAUUAUGGAUCCGACUUAUAACUGCAACAACUCCUGGUUGCUUUCUGUGUGAGGCAUGAUGGCUGCAAGAAGGCAUUCAUGUCUGAUGAAGAGGAGGAGGAGGAGGAUGUAGAGGAUGCUGCUGCUCCUGCUGGAGGACAAGGCCAUGACCAGCAGCAGCAAUAUUUUGAGUGGAGGUCAGAAAUGUGAGUCACAGUGACACAGCUGGUGCCAUAGCCACAGAAAAAGCUGUGCAAACAGUGCUCUAUGCACAGGUGAGUGGAACUCGACUCCCAGAAUUUGCCAGGAAUAUUUUUUUUCUGCGCAACCCAUUCAGAUCUGGUUGUCAGAAGCAUUAUCAGUUGGGUGGAUACUUACAGCUGAGUCUUUACAUUUUUGGGGAUGAAAAAAAAAAUAAAGGAACAAUAAAAUCUUGCAAAUUCAUAGCUCAGCUCCCUGUUCUAUUAGGUUUGGAGCAAAAAACAAAGAAUCUUGAAAGCCCACAAAUAUUCGUAUUUAGCAAUUCAGCGGUUUUAUCUCUGCAUGAGACCAGGCUAGGAUAGAGAAUGCCUUGGAAACACAGAUUAAAACAGCUCCUUAAAUAGUGGCUCACGACACCCUCCCUGAUGUUUCUCAUGGCAAUUCAAUUAAAUUAAGAGAACAAGUCUGGCUAACACCUCUGAAACUCAGGGACUGAAAUACCUGGAACUUCACUCCACUUAUGCAAUGUGCCUCAGUACAAAUGCAGAGCAAUGUUUCAGUAUGGGUCCCAUCUCUGCAUGCCAAACUGCUUAAAAAUGUGUCUUCUAUUAUUAUGAUUAUUAUUUCUGAAUUCUCCAUCUAGGAAAGCCAGUGGGAAACAAAAUAUAUUUGUUUAAAGCAGUCCAAAAAUCCCUGCCUGUGAACAAGCUGUCUUCAGACUAAGCCUGAAGCUAGCCUGCAGUCUGACAACCCUUUGAAUUAAUUGCACCCUCUCUUUGCUAGCAAAUGAGAGGCUUUUAAACAUCCUUUUAAGCUUGCUGAGUGAUUUUCUGAAGUUUUCAUAGUGUGCUGCUGCAGAAUAUAGAGAUUUUCAUGAUGUAAUCAGCGAUUGUCCAGGUUUGGGAUAAAUGGUAUCAGCCAGGGCUGACUGCACCCAGUUUGCUGGUGCAAAGAAUUUAUCUGUGGCGAGCUCUGCUGUGGGGUGAGGGCAGGCAGCAGCUUCCAUGUGCCACACAGUGGCAAUGGCAGAAGUAUGUGGAGGGGGCACACAGGGACGUGCUGAGACUGAGUCCAGUUUUGAUACCACAGAAAAAAAUCAGUUUUUCAUAGCCUUCCUUGCAGCUGGAACCCAGGGUGGCUACCUUGAUCACUGUGGCCUUUUCAGGGACAUUUCUGGGGAUGAGAAGGGCCAUGAGAAAAACUUUUCUCCCUGAGCUCUUAUCAUGUGCAUUGGUUCAUCUCUCCAUGUAGUUUCCAGUCAAUCUUUUCACCUAGGUAUCAAGUGACAGGACAAGAGGAAACAGCCUCAAGUUCCAACAGGAGAGGUUUAGAUUGGAUGUUUUGGGUUUUUUUUUUCACUGAAAGGGCUGAAAAGCAAUGGAAUGGGGUGCCCAGGGCAGUGGUGGAGUCAGCAGCCCUGGAAGUGUUCAAAAGGUUUGUGAAUGUGGCACCUGGGUUGUGGUGGGCUUGGCAGCGCUGGGGGAAUGGAUGGAUUCAGUGGUCUCAGAGGACUUUCCCACCCUUAAUAAUUCUGCGAUUCCCAUGUGACAGUGCUGGCGUGGCACGGGAGGUCACAGGGCUGAGCUGCAGUGGCUGGCAGCUGGAAGUGAAGAGAAGCAGACACCUCCAGAGGGGGUUUUUCACACCCAUCCUGGCUGAGGUCAGGACAAAUCAGUCAUCAGAAGGGGAUGUCUCUUCCCUCCGACCACAGAGGAAGAGGAGGCUGCUGGUUUAGGCAUGACUGUGGGUUUUCUGUGGAUGGAAUUGGGUGGGAUGAGGCUUGCCCUCAGAAAAUGGGUGUGGAGAUGCAGCUUAGCAUGACAUUUGCUAUGGCAAAUAGACUGACAGCAGUGUCACUGUCCUGGAAGCCAGGAAGCCACAAGAUUUCUCUUCACACUUAAUAAUGCCUAAAGCAACUAUUGUUUUGGGAUGCAAUUCCUCUUGCAGCUCAUACUGUUCCCCCACAGCAUCCACAAGAGUCUCUGCAUCUGGUUCUCUGUGACCUGGGCAGAGAUUUCAUUACAUAAAAAGGUGUUUUCAGGCUUUGUCCAAAUUCAGAAGGCAUUUUUGGGGGCUUUUUCCUAAAUUCAACAGCCAUCCUUCUCCCCCUGGAGUUACCAGCAGCACAGUCAGAUGGACUUCAGGUACCAAAUACACCAAACUGGAGACUGCAACCAAUAGUUCACCUUGUCAUGAGUUGUGAAAGCUUCAGGCGUGUGUCUGCAUGGAAAUCCACAGCCACUUUUCUCUGCCCAACACCACCCUCCUUGAUUUUUCUGAUUUUCCCCAAUUAGAGAACCCUUAACUGGUGAACAACUCAAGGAGAAAGGUUUUCCCUCACCAGGCUAAUGUGAUGUUUUCUCAUGCUUUUAUGAUGGGCCUGAAUUUCUGAGUGCAAAUUCUGAAUGCAUCCCUUGCCAGAUGCAUUAAGGAUGGUUUAAAUUUAACUGUCUUGUUCUGAGCAUUGAUUGUUCUGUGGAAGCCACUGAAAGUGACAGAAAUAAUGCAUUCAGUGAUUACCACGAUGUAAGAAAGAGUUUCUUGAUGUCAUCCCAUAAAUAGUCCUUUAAAACAGUACAUAAAAAGUGGAGAUAUGAGAGAAAAUGCAAGGCUCACAAAUUUGUAAUCCUGGGUGGAAAACAGCUGUGGAAAUGUCUAUGAGAACCAACUCUACCACCAGACAUCCCCAUGAAAUGGCACUGGAAGCCAGUGGCACAGGCUCAGCCUUGACUAAUCUUGUUAAAAGGAUCUGGCUUACAAAGGAAAAAAAAAAGGAGUCUAAUAAAAGCAUCCAAGGAUUUCAAAACCCAGCACAAAAUUGCUGAUGCAAGGGAAAACGUGAAAUAAUUCCACUGUGGGUCUGUAAAGUCACACACUCAAAGGACCUGAGCAACUGCAAAUGCAGUUCACACAUCCAACGUGAGGAAUAAUUAACAAUAUUAAAUGAAAAAUGGAAGCUGAGCACACAUAAAAAAAAGGGGGAACCAGCAUGAAAUGCCUUACUGCUUCCCAUAAAACCUCUUUCAUGAGCAGCCAAAAUAUGUCCCUUCACAAUACUUUUUUUGACACAAAAGGUAAACUUUGGUGCUCUGAAUGGUCAGUCAGCUGCACAGGGGAUGAAUAGAUGACACACAUACAAAUUUAGACUUACAACAUCUAUUUUUCACUUCUGUAGUUUUUACCAGAUUUUAAAAAUAUUUGUCUUAUUGAAACUAGAAGGAUUUUUUCUUUAUAAAUGAGUGAAAAGCUCCUUAUUUGAGCCAUAUAGCCUAAAAAAAAUCAGGAGCCAGUAAUGAAAUCCAAUGUGAAUACACUAAUUCUAAAUUCUUAACAUAAAUGAUAAAAUUUUAUGUAAAAAAAAACAUUUAAACUUCUCCUUUUUCUAACUGAUAUCUACCCUUCUGCCUCUAGACAUUUAUGUUUAUGAUGAAUAACAAGUUUUGGCUGUAUUUAAUGGACUUUAUUAAUAUUGUCAUACUGGCAUGGAUUUCUGUUCCAUUAAAGAUGCCAGGACUUAGGAAAGCCUUUCUAAGAACACAGAGUUUUAUCCAAACACAACUGAUUUCAAAAUUAAUUGCUUUGCUUCAUAAAAAAAAAUAAAUAAAGGAAGGAAAAAAAGUUUGGAGCUAGCAUCUUGUUUAAUUUUGUGGGUUGGAAGACAUUAGUAUUAAUUUUGUACUGAUAUUUUUUUUUUGUUUAUAUCUGGUCACAGCAAAAUACACAUCAAAGGGAUAGUCUCAUUGCAUUUUUAUGAUGGAAUUAUGGAAUAUUUAAAAAUGCUUUAUAUUGUAAUAUUUAUUUUAUCAUUUGUUUUAUUAUUUAAAACUAUUUUAUUGUUUUCAUUUGUGCAAUGGCAGUGGCCAGAAGCAAGAACACUUCUGAGUUGGGUGCUCUCCAACCCAAGAAUGAAAAGAUGAUUCCCUCCCUCCAAAAUCUCACAUCAAGGAAAAAAUAAGCCUGUAUAAUUUGGCAGGAAUCACUGUAAUCACAGCUUUUCUGCAACUGAGCUUAUAUCAAGUGACUUUUAUGCCUGUUCCUGAGGAGAAGAGAGUGCCUGUGAGAUAUCUGCAAUUUACCUGACACCCGUGAGACUGAAUUAAAAGACUUAAUUCCUAAUUCUUUUCGAAAGCUCAGAACAAGUAAUUUUGAAUUUUGAUGCUUAAAAUAAUUCCUAGCGUUAUGUGAAGUUCCUGCUCUAUAAAAAAAGAAAUAAAUUACUUUGUGAGAUGAAUUGGGGUUCUUUUCAAUGUUAAAACCCCCCCUGAUUUCCAAACUGGUGUUGUUGUGAAUUUUACUCAGUUCCACCUGAAGAGAAAAUCAAGUUACUGCCUGCAUAGACAACUCACUUGUGCAUGUGUAUACACACAGAGGCAAUUUCCCUCUCAUAUUUUGACUUAAAGGAGAAAGCUACCCCAUAAAUAAAUAACAAACAUGUAACCUUCAGUGUUUCUUAUUCUCUCUGUCCAGAGGCUCCAGUGAAGACCAAGUCUGACCAGGAAUGACAAAACCCCUACAGAUGGAAAAAGACAGAGCACCUCUUUCUGUGCUCCAAAGAAAUGGCUCUGGAUCUUUGAGGCUGAGCCCUGUUUGGUUUAGCAGAAAAAAAAGGUUUGCUGAGUUGGUAAUGCUUUAAAGCUUUAAAACUGUCUCUCCUCACCCAGAAACAGCUUGGCUGAGGUGAGACCUUGUGGGCUUGCUGGAAACCUCCUUUGUUUUUUCUGGGAUGUAAGGGAGCUCAUGGGAAAAGCUGUGCCUGAAGAUGUGAUCUGAAGCCACCAUCAUAUUUCAAGCUGAGUAAAAACCAUUAUUUGUGUGCAUGUGUGCGUAGGUGACUGCUCUUUUAGAAUGGUUCUAAGGAUCAAAACUGGGGAAAUAAAUCUGCACAUGCUUAACCAAAACCCAAGCUUAUCUCUUGUCCUUCAGCAACCACGUUUACUUUAUCUGACUUCUGUUAUGAAGCUGAUGUUCCCUCAGGCAAGGAACAGAAAUCUACAUAAUUCUCAAAUGUGAUUACAAAUUAGGUGAAUGCUGUGAAUGAGCCAAGAGUUCAGGCUGAUCUAAACCCUUAUUUUAACCAAGUUAUCUAAACUGGUCAAUUAAAUGACUAUAAAGCAAUUUAAAGCCUGGUUUCCUAUGGUUCUUUUAACUCUCUUGAGUGAAUAAAUUUAGAAAUAAUUUAUGAAAAUGCAGUGCACUGGAAAAUAUAUUCACCCAGUUCUUUUCUCAGCUGCACUAUUUUGCAGCAAAUUGGCAUUACUCUCCCGUUUCUGCAACAUGCUCAGCGAGUUCAAAUGGCUCUCAAAUCUACUGAGACAGUUGAAUUAUUGCAAAAGUCUGUCUAGGGAUGUAGACAUGUGUUCUUUUGACUCCCCUUCCAUCCUACUGAAAAAUAAACUACUGUUCUUCAUGGCUUAUUUUGUCUCUGUCAAGGAAACUUUCUGCUCUCAUCUCAGGAGGAUUGUACAAUAGCAAUCUGAUCCUGACCUUUCUACCUCUUCCUUGAAUAACAGAUGAAAAUUGGACAGUGAGAAGUGGUGUAUGCUCCAUAACUUGUAUCCCAGACACAAUCUAAUGACACUCUUCUCCUAGUAAAAACAACAGUUGCAGCAAAGGUUAAGGUAAACAGGUUUAGCUAAUUACCUCUUAAUCAAAUCCAGUUAUAAUUUACUGCUGUCCUCUGAAACUCUGUGCCUGCUAAACCAUGGGCUUUGGCUGGAUUAGCUUAUCUCUGAUAAAUGCAGUGUGAUUAAUUUCUCCCACAGUACAGCAGCACGUAAAUAUCAAGUGAGAAUAAUAUAUGACCAAAUAAACUCAGCUCACACACCAUCACAGCAGAACUCUCCAAGGCCCCCACUUACCAGGCACUGAAAUAAAAUCCCCCCUUUUUUUUUACAGAAGGUGAUGGUGGGGAAGAAAUCAUUUUUGUGUUACUCUUUGUUUCAGGGACAAGAAAGAAAACACCAAAAGUAAAACACACUGGUGCUUUCAUAAUUAAAAAUGACACUCUACAUUCAAGUAAUGUGCACCUCUGUGUGUGAAAAUCCUUGCUACAAGUAAAUCAGGUGUACACAUGUGACAGAAACAUGCAUUUGUCCUAUCAAGUUUUGAAACUGUACCUGUGGACACCUCUAGUGCUUAUUUUUUGUAAGUUGUCUUUCUAAAAUAUGAAAUAGUCUGUUUCUCAAGGAAGUGAGAGGAAAUAAAGAGAGCUCAAUUAAAAAUCCAUUUGAAAUGUUUAUGUGAGAUCUGAAACUACAUAUACUUCUUGAGUUUACACUUUGGUUUCAAGCUCAGCCUGGUUUAAUCAAAACAUUUGUUACUUCUUGAGCAAACUUUAGACUAUUUUUUAAAGAAGCAGCUCAGAGGUAAAGUUCUGUGUCAAAAUACUAAGCAAGCCAUAAUCCCUAGAGCUUUCCUAGAAGCCCUGUGAAAUGUAGCAGUUUUGAUUCAGCUGCAGUUUGUUUUUUUAACUUUAUACAAACCCAAAACCUGAGGCAGACAGAAAAUGUCUGCGUGAAGUCCUUGCUGUGGCGGGAUGCAGCAGGGCUGGAAAUCUCUCUGUGUCAUCCUCAAUGGGGUAGAACCAAUUAAUGUGAUUUAUAUAUACAAAUCUCACCUUGAUUUGGCAUUAGCUUCACUACAGUGCCACUCCUACUGCAAAGCAGAAAGUUGUUUUUAGUUUGCAAAAUCAUGAUAUCACCAAAACAUUGCCCUCACUUUCAGCACUGCAGGAAAAAUUUCUUCAUGGCACAGGCUGCCCAGAGCAGAGGUAGAUUCUCUGGAAAUGUUCAAAAAUGAGUGGAAUUUGAGGACAUGGUUAAUGGUGAGCACAGAGAUGGUGCUGGGUUGACAGCUGCACUUGAUGGUCUCAAGGUCUUUUCCAGCCUUCAUGGUUCUGGGAUUCUGUGUCCUUUUCCUGAGAUGUUGAAGAGCUGCUGCUGCACUUAGCAAACUUUGAACUCAAAUUUUCAUUUCUUCAUUGUCAACUACAGAGUAAUUGGCAUUUUUUUUUCACUGGCAAAAGCCAGGCUAAAUUUUUUUCUCAAAUACAAGCACCAGCCUACAUUUAUUGUGUUGGGUAUCCUCAUGGGGACACCUUCCACUGUCCCAGGCUGCUCCAAACCCUGUCCAACCUGGCCUUGGACACUUCUAGGGAUCCAGAGGCAGCCACACUUUGUGUCUGCUGCUCUACAGUCACCAGGGUGCAGCGUUUGAAGGGAGCAGUGAAAGGAAACUGAGGAACUCAAGUUGGGCACAGCAGGUUUGAGUAUUUUCUAAACAAGGACCUAAACUUCCACUGAUCUCUACUCUGCAACUCAGAACAAAACAUGACAGGUUUUCAGGUUUUCUGCACUGUUUAACCUGCCAGCCUGUUGAAGGAAGGCAAAAUUCAAAAAGAAAGAGCUGGAUGUAAAAGUGGUCCUGAAGUAGCUGUGGUGGAAAAUGACUUUGAAACAGAUCCACAUCCUUUCACAGAAACUAUUGAAUCCCUUCACUGGGAGCGUUUCAUAGUGACAUGGACACUAUAAAUAAAUGAUGGGCCGAGUUAUAGGAGCAUUUAUACCUUGUCUUUGCUGGGCAGAGUUGCAGUUGUCACCACCCUUUGGUUUUCUCCUGAUUACAUAUAUUUUUUCCAGCUCUUCUGUUGUACGCCUCAUGAAAAGAGAGCUCAAGUUCAAGGCUGUGUGGGAUUUUUCUCAAGCCAUUGGAGUUCCAGCCAGUAAAUAAGCAUCCCAGCACACAGGCCAAAUUAAUUCCAUCAUCAUCAAAUGGAAACAAAGUGCCUGAGACAAAGUGACUGAGAGGUCAAGGAAAUCUGCAGCGGAGAAUCAAACUGGGGCCGGUUGGGAAUUCAAUACAUUAAAGGUGAACGAGGGGGCAUUUUUGGAGCUUGGGGUACACUCCAGUGAUUGCAUGCAAUCCUUCAUGCUUCUUGUGGCUUUAUCUCAGAUUUAUUGUUGACUGAUGCACGAGAUGAAACAACAAGGGUUGUUCUGGUGUGUGAGUUUCCUUCUUUGAAUUAAUUCUGUGCUGCUGACGCGAUCGCUGUAGGAAGUGACUCCUUAGAAAACAUUUUUAAAUUCUACACCAGUGCAGGAAAGCUUCAGUGUGUCUGACAGCUCUGGAACUGCCCGGUCAGAAGACAGGUCAGGGUUCAACCUAUUAAACUUUUGGUAGCUGCAAGAUGCGACAUGAGCUGAAUUGCCCAUCCACCAACACAGACCUGAUUGCUGCUCCCAUUUCCUGACCCAGCAAAGGACAAAGCAUGAAAGAAAUUAAUGCACACAUUUUAUCCCCUGCAGGGCUGACAUAUUUCUGGCUGACUGAUAAAAACCCCUCAGAUGAUCAGAUAGGAGUACUUUCUCAGCUACAUGGUUGGUUUGCCUCAGAGCAGCACUGUUCUUUUAGAGUCACUUCCAGUCAAUGGCAGGUCUGGGAAAAUAGGCAAAAACCCACAAGCUAGCUUUUGGGUGAAAACAGCUGUGUGAUUUCAGUGCAAUUGUAAUCUGGCACCCUGAAUUCGUGACCCUUUAAAUUUGCAGUCAUGUGAACCCUGAUUACUCAUCCCUUGUGGGAGAUGAAGCCUAUCUGAGAAGCUCUCACACUUCCAAACUGCCCCACUCUUCGUGGCUUUAAGCCACAUAAAAGUAAUAACCUUUCCAUAAGAUACUGCUCAGUAGAUCUUGGAAUAGGACUCACUCAGCAGAUUUGAAUAAAACCCAAUCUCUUGUUUUUACAGUGUCUGCGGAUUAAAGUGUGAAAUGUAACCAUUCUGACCAGAAAUCUGUUCCUUUCCACAGCCCUGUUUCAUAUCAAACCUGGGCCAUUUUGGGUGCCUGUUGUGGGAUGCUAUCUGGCUCUGUUCUGCCCUAACAGGGCACUGGGGUGGUGAACAUUGUUCAUGCUUCCAAAAAGCAAUUUUUUGUACCUUUUGCCCAAGCCACCCAACACAGCCUUCCUAACCCUGAGUGCUCUCCUCUGGCCUCCUUUCUUGCAUCCUUGCUCCUAUUUCUUUUAGCUCCUCUUUGCACACCCUCACACAGCAGUGGCCUCAGAAUUUAGUUAAUCUUACCUCAGCCAAAAUCUUCUUUCAGAGCUUUGCCUCUUGGCCCAGACUCCCCCUCCACACAAUGAGUAGAGGAAAUCCUAUGGAGAGGGUGAUUUAACCUGUCACCAUCCAGAUGUAAAGUUAAUUAUCCUGGAAGGCUCCAGGACACUUCAACUUUUCAUUGCUUUAUUAGGGACUCACGUGUCUGGUCUGAUCACCUUAGAUAUCCUCCAUAGCUAAGGAAGGCAAAAAAAGGUGCUGUAAGGUUUUGUUUCCUCUCAUGGCUGAAGUUAGGGAGAUAAAUCCCGCUCUGGUUCUCCCAGGGGACAGUGGGAUUGCAGGGGGACGUGGAUCUGAGGUGAACUGUGGCAUCUGGCUAUACUUGGGGUCCCCAGUUCGUUGAGGAAUCCCAUCCUGGAGUGACUGGGUUUUGAAGUCAGGAGCCUCCAGUAAAAUUCUGACAGCUUUUUAGGAGGAACCUUGGCAAACAGAAACUGUUUUUUCAAAAUGGCUCCUCUGUGGGACAAUUAACUCUGUUGAGCUAUGAUAAAUCUUUCUAAAGCAGAUAAUUCUUGGCAGAUGUUAAAAGAGUAAGUGUUGCAUGUUAUUUGCAUUUAAUUGUUGAAUCCUAUUGAGCUAAGUAAAUUUUAUCUUUCUUUUACCCUUCUCAUUAAUGCACAGAAAUAAAUACUUCCUUUCCACACUGCCUGUUUAGUUUCACCUUGGCAGUUUUCAAAACUAGUUCGUAAGGUUUGGAAAGACUGCCAGCUGACCACGAAACAGAUGAAUUUGGAGGUAUUGAUAAACAUAACCUGCACUGGGAGGGUUCCAUCAGCUGGAAGUUUGAGUGCUUAGUUCCAGUGACACCAGCUCUGAAGAACAUUUCACCUUUGAAAGAGCAUAGAAUUUUUCUUCUGGCCUCUCUGGGGAUAAACACAGAUUGAAGUGUGUUUUUUGUACUUUUCCCUGGGGGAAAGCACAAAAUUCUCUGUGUGGAGGAAUGGUCUGUAUGUUUAUGGCAGCCCCUGACAGGUGGCACAGGGCUCUGUCACUCUUUUGCCAACACCCAUAGGCUUGUUGGGUCUGUGAUGCUCAAGGCACUGGGGAAAGGAUGAUGCUGUGACUCUUCUCAUCCUGAGUUCAUCCAGGAGUUUUUCUCAUUGUGGAUCUGCUCCAUGAGGGCCCUAGAUACAGCUCCAUGGGUCCUGGUAGGGGUGAGCUGCUGAAAAGCUGAACCUAAAUCCCCUUUGUGGAUCCAGCCCCUUUGUAGAUGCCAGCUGUGCUUGGAAAUUUGGCUUAGGGUCUUAAAAUCACUUUGUAGAUCCAGCCCUCAGGCACCUUUGACAAUCCCUCCAUAGGAAAUGAGGUUUUUUUCACCACAAGUGUGAAAUAGGGUAUAACUCUGGCUGGUUUUAGUGCAGCUAAGAUCAUGUAGCACUUUUUAUAGACUGCCAAAGGGUCUAAAUAUGGUCGGUAAACCAGAAGGUGUUUUAAGGGGAGUAGACAGAAAGGGGUUAGGUCUGCAUGGGCUCAUUGACAUCUGUAUUUAAGGCAUGGGGGGUACAGUGAUGCCUUUGAGGAAGAAUGCAGCUACUUGCACUUUAUUUCAUUCCUGCAAUUUCAGUGCCAAGCCACUGGACUUGAGGAGAGAUGAUUCUUUUCCUUUUUCUUGCCUUUGAACACACAGGCAGGCAAAUAAUGUGGCAUUAUACACUGGCCCACUGUACAGAAAACCAAUUCACUAAAGAGCUUGGCCUUUCAAUGAUUACUUUUACUUCCAAUUCAUUAUUUUGAGCAAGUUAGGUUUUCAGCACUGAGCCUCCCCUAGGUAAAAACAAACCAACACUUUCAUGCAUUAAGGUGUGCACAAAAUUUUUGAAGCAAAACUGACUGUGGAGCAUUGAAGGCCCAAGCUGAAAACACCCCAAACUCUGGAGCUGAAUGGAUGCAUUCUUUGCUGUAGAGAAGGACUCUUACAAGCAGGCUGCUGUCAUCUACCUCUUGGAGCCUGAGGUCUCGUGGAGACAACAAUCACUUUUGUUUUGCCAAGGAAAAAUAUGUAAUAGUAUAUUUGUUUUAACAAAGAAAGGUAUCCUGUGAAGUGAGCUCCUGGGGACCUGAAUUUUUACCAUACGGACUCCAGGUUGCAACUGUAAGAAAGUUUGGGAUGGUUUGUGGUCUACAGAUGCACUGACAAAUGUGUGAUUUAAUGUGGGGAAACGCCAGCACAAUGACCCUUUCACAGACCUCUUUAAAACAUUAUUGUUUCCUGUCUUCCAGCAGUCACUUCUGGAAACUCGAACAUAACGCUGAACCCUUCACUGGUUUUAAUGUCACCUCCACAUAACUGCUCCCCUUUGGAAAGAGAUGCACAGGUGUUAAUCUACUUAUGCUUUUCAUCUGGUUUAAAGGGGGCUACCAGAAAAUGCUCUCUGUGUUUCGCAUCCACCAGCUUCCUUUGCCUUGUGUUACAGGAAGGCUUUGUGAGCACACAUGAAGAGUUUUUCUUUUGCAAGCCCCUGGAAUCUUCAGAGGAAUUGCUUCCUGAGUUUUAUUUUGAGCAGCAAGGGUUGUGGGAAAGCCAUAUCUAAACCAUCUUUGCUUUGAAGCUGGCUGAUGUUUUCUGGAAGAGGGUUUUGGAUACUGGAGCUGAAGACAUGGCAAAGUUUCUUCUCAUAUUCACACAAAAUCUAAUUUGUGAGACUCAGUUGCGUCUCAGGCUUGUUGCUCAGGUCCUUAGGUGACACAGUCACUAAAAAUCUACCUUUACUACCAACUUACACCCCAGUUUACUUAUUAUCCUUGAGGUUUUUAACUCAGAUUUUGAUAUCAACAGGUGGGUGCAUUGAAAACCUAGCACUGUAUGUUUUGUGUUUUCUUGUCACCUUUUAAUGUUGCCUGAAAGGGGUUUAAUUGCUAAAGGGGCACAUGGUUACUUUAAGGGAUGGACUUGGUGAUCUUAAAGGUAUUUUCCAACAUGAUUCUGUGAUUUUAUUGUGUGAAUAUGAAAAUGUGAAGUUGUUGAAGCAAAUGAGGCUUGUCCA